UGAAACUGUAUGGGCCACACAAAAUUUCUCGCCUUCCCAAACCGAAACCGACGGGAUCUCCGACAUCAGUCUUCUCCUCUUUAUCGCCUCUCUCUCUUCCCCGCCCUCCCCAUUAUCUGUUCAACUCCGCGAGAAUUUUAUUCAGCCCACUCGAAGUGACUCUCGACAACUUGAGCUUUCACUACAGGUUUUGAGGGAUUCUUGAGCAGUGAUAAGAAAAAAAGAAAGAAAGUCAGAACUUUAAGAAAAAGAAAGCCAUCAAUGCAUCUACCAAGUUCAAGCAUUCUCUUAAGAAAAAGAGCGGAAGAAGAAAGAGUGAUGGUCGAGUGAGUUCUGUCUCCAUUGUGGAUGUGAGAGAUGUCGAGGAGCUACAAGCUGUUGAUGCGUUCCCACAAGCGUUGUUAAUGGACGAGUUGCUUCCGGAUAUACACGACGACUAUCACAUGAUGUUCAGGUUCUUGAAAGCCAGGAAAUUCGAUGUUAAGAAAGCAAAGCAAAUGUGGGCUAAUAUGAUUCAGUGGAGGAAGGAGUUUAGUCAUUCUCCAUUGUUUGUCUCACGUCUUAUCUCUCCUGCGACUGCAACGAUGACGACGACGGCUCUCUUGAAGUCAUUGUUGUUGUGGAGUCCGGUAAGAGUAAAAACCAACCCCAACUCUGGCGGCCAUACGUUCUACAUCCCUGCAAACAUCGGAGAGUUUGUGAGAACUCAACUGCGUCUGGCUGGGAAGAUUUUGGAAUUACUCCUGAACAGCUUUGUCAUAAUGUUGUCAAAGGAUCACAACAACAACAGCAAUAUGGACUGGCCUCAAUGAUUGUCAAAUUUGAUCAGAUACGUACUACCAGAGAAAGGCAUCAGUGGACAUGAUGAUGACUUGCUAGAGCGCAAGACCAUUUAUGGUUUUUGCUGGGAAUGAAUUUCGAGACAACCAGGUCGCAGGUCUUCUAUCCUUUAUGCUUUUUCGUUUAACUCAGAGAAGAAACGAGGUGGUGUUGCUGUUAAAAAACGGGUUUCCACAAGCUCUUCUUAUUCAAACGAGCAAGUUAAGGUAUACAAAUUCUAGGGUUUAUUUUUUAAAGUUAAGGUAAGACAUCUUCUCUUGUCUUUGUCUUUGUCUUCUAACAUUUUGGUGCCCGGUGAUGAUCGGAGGACGUUGGUGUCUCUUCUUCUAGAGUUCUUUUUUUUUUAGGGUUUCUCUUUUAAGUCGUUGUUUGAUUCAGACUUGUAAAAUUAACUAUUAUGGUUUUAAUCUAAUUAUGUAUAUGUUGUGCAGGUCGGGUUGAAGAAUGAAGACUGACUAAGCUGAUUUGAUGGUUGCUGCUGUAGCACUUGGGAUAAAAACAAAAACAGAGGUUUGUCACAGCUGUCCGUGACUACAGACUGUCUCUCCAGCCUCAAAACUUGAAUGGAGGAAGCAUUGCAUUAAUUUCCGGUGGUUCUUAUUACAGCUGCUGUCAGUGACUACAAACAGUCUAACUUGAACGAUGAAAAGAGAAACAUACAUAUGGAGUUAUAGAAUUGUGAGACAAUGGGAUCUGCCACUACUAUUUUCCUGUGUUGCUUAGGUUUUCCCUGUUCACUUUCUCAUAUGGCAUGUUGGAUUUUCUUUCUCGAUGACUUUGUGGGUAUGCCAUUGUUUCUUUCUCUAUUGUAUUUAGAAUGGAUGAAUUGGCAUUCUUUGCUCCUGGAAUGUUGGCUUUAGGAGCUUU